UUAAUUAAAUGAGUAUUAAUUAAACGUUAAACCAUUUUCCGCCUUGCCCGAGUUAAUGAUGAUUUUCCAUCGCAUAGCUAUUAAAAUUUCACUAUUAUUUAAGAUGCGAGCGAGAGUGCUAUUAGCUAUCGCUGUAUACAUUCUAUACAACACAAGGCUGAUGUGUGGUAAGCCUUAUAAUUAUCCGUUACUUUACAGGGAUCAUGUGUAUACCUCCUUAAGUAAGAACGGCGAGGAAAUGUUCUUUGCCGUCAACAUACAUCCAUCUUGUGCGAAAAAAAGGGGGGAGUGUAUUAAGAGGGAGCAAUGUCGCGAUAGGAAAAUACUUUAUAUCUCCCGAGUGUGCUAUAAACGAGAUUUGGUUUGCUGUUACGAUGAUACCAUUAAACGGCCCAAGGUUGGGAGGACGAAUUGCAAUAAUUGUUCGUCGGAAGAUUAUAUCGCUGAAUAUAAUUGAUGUUAAAAAUAUAAUAGCAUCUACAUAAUUUAAA